rnacentral:rRNA from 1 species
GACGUAGGGCGCGAGCGUUGUCCGGAUUUAUUGGGCGUAAAGAGCUCGUAGGCGGCUUGUCGCGUCGUCCGUGAAAACCCACAGCUCAACUGUGGGCUUGCGGUCGAUACGGGCAGGCUAGAGUUCGGUAGGGGAGACUGGAAUUCCUGGUGUAGCGGUGAAAUGCGCAGAUAUCGGGAGGAACACCGGUGGCGAAGGCGGUUCUCUGAGCCUUACCUGACACUGAGGAGCGAAAGCGUGGGGAGCGAACAGG